UACGUAGGGCGCAAGCGUUAUCCGGAAUUAUUGGGCGUAAAGAGCUCGUAGGCGGUUUGUCGCGUCUGCCGUGAAAGUCCGGGGCUCAACUGGGGAGGGUCGUGCGAUACGGGCGAACUGGAGGCCAGUAGGGGGAUGCGGAAUUCCGGGUGUAGUGGUGGAAUGCGUAGAGAUCCGGAGGAACACCAGCGGCGAAGGCGGCAUCCUGGACUGGUCCUGACACUCAGGAGCGAAAGCGUGGGGAGCGAUCCGG
rnacentral:rRNA from 1 species